rnacentral:rRNA from 1 species
UGGGGAAUUUUGGACAAUGGGGGAAACCCUGGUCCAGCCAUCCCGCGUGUGCGAUGAAGGCCUUCGGGUUGUAAAGCACUUUUGGCAGGAAAGAAACGUCAUGGGUUAAUACCCCGUGAAACUGACGGUACCUGCAGAAUAAGCACCGGCUAACUACGUGCCAGCAGCCGCGGUAAUACGUAGGGUGCAAGCGUUAAUCGGAAUUACUGGGCGUAAAGCGUGCGCAGGCGGUUCGGAAAGAAAGAUGUGAAAUCCCAGAGCUCAACUUUGGAACUGCAUUUUUAACUACCGGGCUAGAGUGUGUCAGAGGGAGGUGGAAUUCCGCGUGUAGCAGUGAAAUGCGUAGAUAUGCGGAGGAACACCGAUGGCGAAGGCAGCCUCCUGGGAUAACACUGACGCUCAUGCACGAAAGCGUGGGGAGCAAACAGG